rnacentral:rRNA from 1 species
UUUCUUUGCUGGCGACCGGCGCACGGGUGAGUAGCACGUAUCCAACCUGCCCUUUACUCGGGGAUAGCCUUUCGAAAGAAAGAUUAAUACCCGAUAGUAUAAUGAUUCCGCAUGGUUUCAUUAUUAAAGGAUUCCGGUAAAGGAUGGGGAUGCGUCCCAUUAGGUUGUUGGUGAGGUAACGGCUCACCAAGCCUUCGAUGGAUAGGGGUUCUGAGAGGAAGGUCCCCCACAUUGGAACUGAGACACGGUCCAA